rnacentral:rRNA from 1 species
AUGGACCACAAAGCCACUGCCGCACGAUGUGGCCUAGAGCAUAUAUUAGUCGAUGAAACCGCUGAGCCCAAGGCCCUGCCAUUAUCACUUUUGGAGGCCAUCACUGAGAAUUUCUCCAAUGAGCUGGUGAUCGGACGCGGUGGAUUUGCAGUUGUUUAUAAGGGAAAACUUGGCAAUGGGGAGGUCGCGGUGAAGAGACUGUCCAAAGCUUAUAUGCAUGAAACAGAAUUUGACCGGGAGAUUGAAUGCCUGAUGCGGGCAAAACACAAAAAUAUAGUAAGAUUUCUUGGAUAUUAUCAUGACAGACAAAGAAAUAUGGAAAUAUACGACGAGAAACUUAUCAUGGCAGAUGUCCACCAAAGAUUGUUCUGCUUCGAGUAUAUACCAAAAGGGAGUCUUGAUAAGUAUAUCAAUGGACAACGUGAGUGGGAAACAUGCUACAAAAUAAUCAAAGGGAUCUGUGACGGUUUGCAAUACCUGCAUGACAAUCGCAUUAUUCAUUUGGAUCUGAAACCCGCCAAUAUACUGCUCGACGAUGACAUGGUGCCGAAAAUAACUGAUUUUGGCCUGUCAAGACGCUUAGAUGAAAAUCAAAGUCAAGUGCUUACCAAAACUAUAUCAGGAACAACGGGAUAUUUGGCACCAAAACGUUAUGAAGGGAGUGGAAUCACACCCAGGGCCGACUUGUAUAGUCUUGGUAUUAUUAUCAUGGAAAUACUGACCGGGCAGAGGGGGCAUCAAGCAACUGAGGAUGUGGUUGAAAGUUGGAGUGAUAGGUUGGAGAGAUCAAAACAAGACACACACUACGAAGAAAUACGUGUAUGCCACGAGAUAGCUUUAAAUUGCACACAGUUUAAUCCAAAGGACAGACCAGCUAGUGCACAAGACAUAAUUGACAGGCUUCAUGAAAUAGAAAGUAUCCAGGUAUGUUGA